rnacentral:misc_RNA from 1 species
UUCCCUCUCUUCGGUAUACUCACUUUGGGACUACAUUUUCAAAAGAAAAGUAAAGAUUAAAUUCCUUAACUGACUAACCAAAAGAAAAAGGAAGAAAAAAGAAAACUAAAAGGUAAAUUACAAAAUUCGCCUGACAUUAAGCAAAUUUAUACUUAUAUCCUUGCUUUUUCAAAAGCGAAUUAAAUAGUCCUUAACUUUAAGACAAAUAUACACUUUAUUCCUUCCAUUACAUUUUAGUCCUCACCUUUUAACCUUUUAGGAAUUUAAAAAGUUGUUUCAUUUGAAAACUCAAAAACUAUAAUGCAACCUAUAUAAAAUUUUAGGAACUAUAGUAUAUAAUAUUUUAAUGGAAAGACCAAGGUGUAGUAAAAUUAAAAAGUUGAUCACUAUUUAAUUCAUUUUUAAAAUAGCAAAUAUUCAAGUGCAAAUUAUGCUGAAUGUUACAACACCUUAUUUGUGAUUUACCCAAACUAAAAAGUCAUACUCUCUAAUAAACUUUUUCCUGAUGUUUUAAUGCAAUCAA